rnacentral:rRNA from 1 species
GCAUAACGCGAAGAACCUUACCUGGGUUUGACAUGCAUCUCUAAGAUAAUGAAAGUUAUCGAACUUCGGUAAUUUGCACAGGUGCUGCAUGGCUGUCGUCAGCUCGUGUCGUGAGAUGUUGGGUUAAGUCCCGCAACGAGCGCAACCCUCAUGUUCUGUUGCCCUUCGGGGAUCUCUGAACAGACUGCCCAGGUCAACUGGGAGGAAGGUGGGGAUGACGUCAAGUCCGUAUGGCCCUUACACCCAGGGCUGCACACGUACUACAAUGCCCAGCACAAAUGGAACCGACACCGCGAGGUGAAGGAAAUCGAAAAAACUGGGCUCAGUUCGGAUCGUAGGCUGCAAUUCGCCUACGUGAAGUUGGAAUCGCUAGUAAUGGCGCAUCAGCUACGGCGCCGUGAAUACGUUCCCGGGUCUUGUACACACCG